GUCGCCGGAAUCUAAGAACAAUUGUGUCCACCAAAAUGGCAAAAAAAAUAUAACCUAAAACACAAAAAUGUGAAAAAGUAAGUUUUCAGUAUAUAAUGAUAAUAAACAGAUCUUAUCUUGAUAAUGAAGCAGAAUUACUUGAAAGAAAACCUUGUUAAUCUGAAGCAAAACCAGAGAGAGAGAGAGAAAGAGUAGAUUUUUCGCAGGCAGGCAAAACAAUCGGAAAUUUAUUCAAAUGGGACCAAAUGUUUCCCAAUAACAACCAACUACUCCAACUUUGUAAAUACCGGUUACCGGACUCGACGAACGGGAUAACGACUGCUGAAUACUGAUAUCCAGUACUUUUUUAUGAAUUAUACUAUUAUAUAUAUUCUUCUGGUCAAAUAGUGGUAGGCUGCUAGCCGUCUGAUUGGUCAAACAAUUUGAGGUUUACAACUUACAAGUGCCGUGUGGGGCCCAAUCAACUAAUCAACCUGCAAAUGUAUGUUAUGGGGGUCGGGUCGUUUUAAGGAAAUUUUAAACCAUUGAAUCAUCU
rnacentral:lncRNA from 1 species